UUGCAUCUGACAAAAUAAAUUUUCAAUUUUUUGCGUGCUUAUUAAACUCUUCUGUUUUUAGUCACGACACGGUACCAAAUUGAUUGCUUACCAAUUCAUUCUUUGCUUUCAAAAUUAAUCAACUAAUUAUAUCUCUGUAGGAUAAACGUUGGAUAUAGCUUAAUAUGAGUCAAUUUCAUAUCAAGGCUUAUUACAAGUCGGAGAUAAUACGGUUUUGUUUAAAAACGUCUUCUACUAAGAUGUGCUGCGAUAAUCUCAGAGAAGAAUUGCGAGAAAAAUUUCCAUCAUUAAGAGACUUCAAACUACAGUGGAAGGACGAGGAAGGUGAUUUGAUAAGCUUCUCGAGGGAUAAAGAACUGGAGUAUGCUCUGUCAAUUCUACCCGAUGAUGGCCUUCUCCGCGUUUAUCUCUCAGACGUAUAGAUGUCAAAAUCAUUGUCAACUCAGUCUAAUGAUAUCGUGACAAUUGCCGCUAAACAUCUGGUGGCUCAAUCAGCUCAAUCAGUUUCAAUGUAUUAUAUUUGAUUAAAUUUAAAAUUUUAAUAUG